UCGACGUGAAAGUCCUUCGGGAUGAGUAAAGUGGCGCACGGGUGAGUAAUGCGUAGAUAAUCUGCCUGGUGAUCUGGGAUAACAUCUCGAAAGGGGUGCUAAUACCGGAUAAGCCCACGGAGUCUUCGGACUUUGCGGGAAAAGGGGGGGACCUUCGGGCCUUCUGUCACCAGAUGAGUCUACGUACCAUUAGCUAGUUGGUGGGGUAAGAGCCCACCAAGGCUACGAUGGUUAGCUGGUCUGAGAGGAUGAUCAGCCACACUGGAACUGAGACACGGUCCAGACUCCUACGGGAGGCAGCAGUGGGGAAUUUUGCGCAAUGGGGGAAACCCUGACGCAGCAACGCCGCGUGAGUGAUGAAGGCCUUCGGGUCGUAAAGCUCUGUCAGAGGGAAAGAAAUGUGGGUGGCUAAUAUCCAUUCCGCUUGACGGUACCCUCAAAGGAAGCACCGGCUAACUCCGUGCCAGCAGCCGCGGUAAUACGGAGGGUGCGAGCGUUGUUCGGAAUUAUUGGGCGUAAAGCGCGUGUAGGCGGUUUUAUAAGUCUGAUGUGAAAGCCCCGGGCUCAACCUGGGAGGUGCAUUGGAAACUGUAAGACUUGAGUACGGGAGAGGGCAGUGGAAUUCCUAGUGUAGGAGUGAAAUCCGUAGAUAUUAGGAGGAACACCGGUGGCGAAGGCGGCUGCCUGGACCGAUACUGACGCUGAGACGCGAAAGCGUGGGGAGCAAACAGGAUUAGAUACCCUGGUAGUCCACGCCGUAAACGAUGAGUACUAGGUGUUGCGGGUAUUGACCCCUGCAGUGCCGCAGCUAACGCAUUA
rnacentral:rRNA from 1 species